UACGAAGGGGGCUAGCGUUGCUCGGAAUUACUGGGCGUAAAGCGUGCGUAGGCGGUUGUUUAAGUCUGCUGUGAAAUCCCCGGGCUCAACCUGGGAAUGGCAGUGGAUACUGGGCAGCUAGAGUGUGUCAGAGGAUGGUGGAAUUCCCGGUGUAGCGGUGAAAUGCGUAGAGAUCGGGAGGAACAUCAGUGGCGAAGGCGGCCAUCUGGGACAACACUGACGCUGAGGCACGAAAGCGUGGGGAGCAAACAGG
rnacentral:rRNA from 1 species